UGAGAUGGACUGUUAAACAGUUUUCAUUACACCCAUUUGCGCUGCAAUUUAGCUGUUUUUAACGUUAGAAAGCACGGAAGGCUGGGGCCAGUAGCCCCUCAAUGCAGAACACAAGAUCCAGGAUCUUGUGAUCUCCAGUGGGGCGCUAGGACCGCGCAGCGCAGCGCCGCAGAGCAUCAGCGUCUCUUUGUUCGGUGUGUGCAACAUCUUCUCGCGCUCCGCAGUGAAUCUCGCGUUCCUCCUCAUCACUGCUACACUGGUUUGGAUGAUUGCAGUGGCAGCAACAUGGCUGUGAAUCUCAGCAAAAACAGACUGGCCCUCUUAACAGCCUACCAGGACGUUAUCAGCGAGACGUCGGCAACCGACUGUUCCUGGCCUUGUUCCAUGAUUCGGGAUUGGAUGGAAUCCAUGGAGCUCUAGGACACUGCUGUUAAGAGGUUGUUAAGUACAGCAUUCUUAGGAUAAGGUGUGCAUUUGUUUACUAUUUAAGGGAUGGUGAUGUUUCCACCACAGGAUAUCUUUCACGUUUGACUUUGUCCUACAGCUUAUUGCCCAGAAGAACAGGGCAGUGAAAGAUGCUGUCCCAUUGCAUCUGACAUAUCUGAAAAUAUUUGUGUGGUCCACUUGGUUUAGUUGAACACAUUAAGUCAUAACUAACUACUAAUGUUUUGAAGUUUGGUAUUUCUGCUAUGACACAUACAUCUGGAACCAUUUGGGGAUCAAAAGCCUUGCUCACCAUGUUUUGAGGAAGAGACAUAUUCUACACAUCCCCCAUAUGCAACUGGAAAGCUUCUUCUGUGCCAAUGGACAUCUAUAGUGUCAAAUAUGAUAAAGGAAAUAUUAAUCACAAAAUCUUAUAAGAGACUUAUCGCAGAGAACUCUGAGGUCUAUGAUUUAUGGGCUUUGUUGUCACUUUUUGGAAACUACAAUUAUUUGGACUUACUUUUUUAUAUUUAUAAUAUUUUUGAUUUAACAGGAUAUGCAUAAUGUUCCCCCAGGCCAUCAGGCUCCUAAACUCAAACACAGCCUUUCAACAUCUACAUGUCUCCUCUUAAUAAUCUCUUAAUAAUCAGUAAGAUAUUCACCAUUCUUUACCUCAUAUUGACAUAUUGACAGUGUAACAACCUGUUUGCAUAUUCGCCUCUUGUACAUUCCUGUGUAUCUUAAUAUUUAAGACUACUAUAUACUUUCAUGUACAUUUUAUUUUCUAUUCUAUAUUGAAGUCUACAGUAUACACUUUAUUUUAGAUUUGAUUCUUAUAUUUCUAUUGUUUACUUUUAUUUCAUUCUUUCAUACCUAUAUUUAUGUAUAUUUUCCUCUGUGUUGUAUUGCUUAAUAAUUGCACUGUCCAUAGAGCGGACCUGACACAUUUCAUUGCUGGUUAUAUAUUCUCUAUAUAAUUGUGUAUGUGAUUAAUAAAAAUCUUGAACCUUGAA